UCUCGUGGCUAUCGAACAUCCCUAUACGAUACGAUAAUAAAUCACGAUCACGAUCAGUAGAUGUCAGUAGGAAAAGUGGAAAAUGGUCGGAAAAUAUUUGUAUUUUUCAUGCUCAGUUUAUGUUGAGUUAUACACAAUAUUAAUAUAUUAAAGUAUGUGUUACAACGCGCUAAUAAAAUAUAUACGAAAUGUGGUCGAGGUAUAAAAAUCGUCAGGUUCAUACGCAUCGAGAUGUGCAGCCUCAACCAGCUGUAAAUUGAAUUUAGUGUUUGAUGUUUCCACGUAUAUUUGUAUGAUGAGGAGCUGGUUAUAAAGAUGUACACAUAGUUCGGUAAUUAUGGCUCGGGAUGGCGACGUGCCUACUAUUUUUAACCCGAAGAGAGUUCGUACGCCUUCCGUGAUAAUAACAACAGACGAGGUGGCCAGCGACCAGGGCGAUGUGGAGCGGGAGCGCCCCAACGGACCGCCGACGCCGCUGAGUCCCCGGGCGCCGCUCACGCCGCAGUCGUCGGUGUCUUCAGCUCCUCCGUUGACAACGCAGCCGUCGCUCCAGCAGGCGUACAGCGAGUCCGCGGGCAGCAGUCAGGAAGAUGACCGCCAGUUGCGCGAUAAAAAAUGCCCGCGCUCGUGUUGCUCGAAAGUGGCCAAGAAGAUGUACUAUGGCCUCUGCGUCACAGCCACCAUCGUAGCGGCCUGGGUGACGGUCACACACUGCAUCAAGCACAUGUACCUGCAAAACUACUCACACACUGACAGCUCAACUAGUACAGAGUCUAAUUUAAAUAAUAAUUUUACUUCUAGGAUUCGCACACAUAACCAUUAUAAUGCACCAUUCUUCACCGCAUGGUUCUGUACCAACUGGCUCAUAUUUUUCUAUCCCCUCUACUUAAUUAUCAUGCUCAUACACAAAAAGUGCAAGUCAGCGAACACUAUUGUUGCUGAUGCCUUCACAGACUUCAAGGACAAGGGCUUUACGUUUGCCCGCUUCCUGAGCCGCUGCGGCCUGUUCUGCCUGCUGUGGGUGGUGACCAUCUACAUGUACACAUACUCGCUGCGGAUUCUGCAGUCCACCGAGGUGGUGGCGCUGUUUGCGACAAACGUGUCGUGCGUCUACUUGCUGUCUUGGGUCAUACUGCACGAGCAGUUUGUCGGUGUUAGGAUAGUGGCGGCCAUCUUGUGCGACACGGGGAUAGCGCUGCUGGCGUACAUGGACGGCAUCACGGGCAGCUCCACGCUGGGCGGCGUCGUGCUCGCCGCGUGCGCUGCCGCUGGCUUCGCUAUAUUUAAGGUGCUAUUUAGGAAAGUGAUGGGCGACGUGAACACGGGCCAGCGCGCGCUAUUCUUCUCCAUCCUGGGCGUGGUGAACGCGACGCUGCUGUGGCCGGUGUGCCUGGCGCUCUACCUCACGGGCUCCGAGCAGCUGCCCGCGCACCAGAUGCCGUGGAUACCGCUGCUGCUCGCCAGUGUUGCACUGCUCGUUUUCCACUUGGUUUUCCAGUUCGGCAACCUCAUGACGUACAACAUAUUUGUGUCUCUUGGCCUCAUCACCGCUGUUCCUAUAUCUGGUACUCUGGACGUGAUCCUGUACGGGGUGGAGUUCGAGGGGAUGAAGCUGGCCGGCAUCAUACUGAUCACCGUCGGCUUCUUCCUCGUCAUGUUCCCCGACAACUGGCCCGACUACAUCAUGAGACUGCUGAGGUGAGUCUCUCGACCCCCUACUGUCAGCUCUGGACGUGAUCCUGUACGAGGUGGAGUUCGAGGAGAUGAAGCUGGCCGGCAUCAUACUGAUCACCGUCGGCUUCUUCCUCGUCAUGUUCCCCGACAACUGGCCCGACUACAUCAUGAGACUGCUGAGGUGAGUCUCUCGACACACUACUGUCAGCUCUGGACGUGAUCCUGUACGGGGUGGAGUUCGAGGGGAUGAAGCUGGCCGGCAUCAUACUGAUCACCGUCGGCUUCUUCCUCGUCAUGUUCCCCGACAACUGGCCCGACUACAUCAUGAGACUGCUGAGAUGGAGCCGCCGGCGCCAACGCGGCUCAGAGAACGGCGGGCGCAGCAGAGACACCGUCGACUACCGCACCGGCUACAUCCGCUCGCAUCUGCGCUCGCCGUCCGGCCGCGUCAGGUGACCGCCCUACCCGCAGCUCUGCAUCGCGCACCUUCUGGAAACUUCUCUACCGACUAUUGGAAACCUUUUGAUUAUCGACACUUGAAAUCUUUUGAUUACCAACACUUUAUUAUUACCGAAAUUUGAAACCUAAUAUAUCUUUCAAACUAUAAAUAAUUUUUGGUAACUUUCAGAUUGCCAAAACUUGGAAACCUUUUUGGUUACCGACAUUUGAAACUUUUUGAUUACCUACGUCUUUAUUAUUACCGAAAUUUGAAACCUAAAUACAGACACUUACAAACUAUAAAUAAUUGUUGUUAACUUUCAGAUUGCCAAACUUGGAAACCUUUUGGUUACCUACCGUUGAAAAUUUUUGAUCAUCAACACUUGAAGUUUUAUGAUUACCUACACUUGAGCCACAUUUUGAUUAUUACCGAAAUUUGAAACCUUCUAACUACAGACACUUACAAACAAUAAAUAAUAAUUGGUAACUAUCACAUUGCCAAAACUUGAAAACUUUUUUGGUUUCAACACUUGAAACUUUUGAUCAUCAACACUUGAAGCUUUAUGAUUGCCUACACUUGAGCCUACAUCUUGAUUAUUACCGUUGAAACCUAGAAAGCGACACUUACUACCUAUAUUAUUACCAAUAAAUAAUAAUUGGUAACGUUCGGAUUGCCAACACUUGGUAACCUACUAAUUACCGACAUAUAAAACUUUUACUGACUACUGACACCUGAUAGCCCUUUGAUUACCAACACUUGAAACGUGUUGAUUACCGACUCUUUGAAAACCUUUUGACUAUUACCAAAAUUUUAAACCUUCUGACUACCGGCACUUACAAAACUUUUCAAUAAAUAAUUGGUAACAUUCUGAUUGCCAAGACUUAAACACCUUUUCACUACCAACACUUGAAGACUUAAUUACCGAUACUUGAAAACCAAUAAUGAACCAGUAUUAAAGUAAAGCGAUUGUUUUUUUUUUAAAUACUUAUAGAAGAACAGAUGUUAACUCAUAUUUAUUAAAUUUUAAAUAGUGAAUAACUUGUUUAUUAUGCUAUUAUCCGCGAAAAAAUUUCUACUAACACUAACGCUUCGAGAACUAUACAAAUGUAUGGGAAUUACAGAUCCGAUCGACUUGAUCACGUGACCUGUCUAUAGCAAAUGUCAUUCCCAUACAUUUUUUAAUUUUUGAAGCGUUUGUGAUUGUAGAAAAAGAAUCGAUGUACUACAUGGCUACAGGUCCUGU